AACUUACCAGGUCAAGACAUGGGCGUGAUUGACAGGCUAAUGACUUUUCUCGAUUCCAUGGAUGGUGGUGCAUGGUCGCACUUAGUUGGUGCAGUGAUUUGUCAGGUUUAUUCCGGUAACGAACGAGACCUCGGCCUUGUAAAUAGCUAUGCUGCUUACAGGGACAUUGGCGGCUACGCCAAGGAAGCUCGAGGCAAUUGCAGAUCUGGAAUGCCCUUAGAUGUCCUGGGUCGCACGCGUGCUACAAUGACGCCACGAACGAGCUUGCGUGAUGAAAGUUACGCAUAAUCAGCAGUCGGCGUCUUAAGGGAUAGUCUCUUGUAACUGUGGGACUCCAACUAGGAAUGUCUCGUAAGCACAAGUCAACAUCUUGUGUUGAUUACGUCCCUGCUCUUUGUACACACCGCCCGUCGCUCCUACCGAUCGAGUGUUUAGGUGAAUUUGAUGGACGUAAGGAAGUCAAAUAAACCUGAGCACUAGAGAAGAGAAGUCGACAUGUC
rnacentral:rRNA from 1 species